GACGAACGCUGGCGGCGUGCUUAACACAUGCAAGUCGAACGGAAAGGCCCUGCUUUUGUGGGGUGCUCGAGUGGCGAACGGGUGAGUAACACGUGAGUAACCUGCCCUUGACUUUGGGAUAAUUUCAGGAAACUGGGGCUAAUACCGGAUAGGAGCUCCUGCUGCAUGGUGGGGGUUGGAAAGUUUCGGCGGUUGGGGAUGGACUCGCGGCUUAUCAGCUUGUUGGUGGGGUAGUGGCUUACCAAGGCUUUGACGGGUAGCCGGCCUGAGAGGGUGACCGGCCACAUUGGGACUGAGAUACGGCCCAGACUCCUACGGGAGGCAGCAGUGGGGAAUAUUGCACAAUGGGCGGAAGCCUGAUGCAGCAACGCCGCGUGCGGGAUGACGGCCUUCGGGUUGUAAACCGCUUUCGCCCGUGACGAAGCGUGAGUGACGGUAAUGGGUAAAGAAGCACCGGCUAACUACGUG
rnacentral:rRNA from 1 species